rnacentral:rRNA from 1 species
UGGGGAAUUUUGGACAAUGGGCGCAAGCCUGAUCCAGCAAUGCCGCGUGAGUGAAGAAGGCCUUCGGGUUGUAAAGCUCUUUUGUCAGGGAAGAAACGGUGAGAGCUAAUAUCUCUUGCUAAUGACGGUACCUGAAGAAUAAGCACCGGCUAACUACGUGCCAGCAGCCGCGGUAAUACGUAGGGUGCAAGCGUUAAUCGGAAUUACUGGGCGUAAAGCGCACGCAGGCGGUUUGUUAAGUCAGAUGUGAAAUCUCCGGGCUCAACCUGGGAACUGCAUUUGGAACUGGCAAGCAUGAGUCUUGUAGAGGGGGGUAGAAUUCCGCGUGUAGCAGUGAAAUGCGUAGAUAUGCGUAGGAACACCGAUGGCGAAGGCAAUCCCCUGGAUCUGUACUGACGCUCAUGCACGAAAGCGUGGGGAGCAAACA